GCACACAUUUAAAACCACGCUGGGUCGGAGUUAAAGCGUUUGUUGUGUGAGCUAUCAUGAUGGCGUCACUACUUGAAGCUUUUCCUCAUGUCUUUGUUGAUCGCUGGGCUCAAGAAACAAAAAAACUAUUAGCUGUCAUUCUCAUUUCAAGCAAAUAAAUAUGAAUAAAUGUCUUCAUCAAACAGCAAAGCGUCCUGUUGUAUGACACAAACAACUGGUUAAAUGGACGCAUGGUGGUGCAACGCACAGC